CACGUAGGAACCGAGCGUUAUCCGAAUUUACUGGGCGUAAAGCGCGUGUAGGUGGCUCGAUAAGUUGGGUGUGAAAGCUCCUGGCUCAACUAGGAGAGGCCGCUCAAAACUGUCGGGCUUGAGAACGGUAGAGGGAGGUGGAAUUCCCGGUGUAGUGGUUAAAUGCGUAGAUAUCGGGAGGAACACCAGUGGCGAAGGCGGCCUCCUGGACCGUUUCUGACACUGAGACGCGAAAGCUAGGGGAGCGAACGGG
rnacentral:rRNA from 1 species